rnacentral:rRNA from 1 species
AGGAUGAACGCUGGCGGCGUGCCUAACACAUGCAAGUCGAACGUCCUGUCUCGCAAGAGGCAGGGAGUGGCGGACGGGUGAGUACCACGUGGGUCAUCUACCGUGAGGUGAGGAAUACCGGCGAGAAAUCGCCGACAAGACCGCAUAGGCUCGAUGCAAGUCGAGCAAAGCUCUUUCGAGAGAGGGAGCGCCACACGAGGAGCCUGCGCCCGAUUAGCUAGCUGGUGGAGUAACGGUUCACCAGGGCGACGAUCGGUAGCUGGUCUGAGAGGACGAUCAGCCACACUGGGAUUGAGAACGGCCCAGACUCCUACGGGGGGCAGCAGUGAGGAAUUUUCGUCAAUGGGGGCAACCCUGAACGAGCAACGCCGCGUGCAGGAAGAAGGUUUUCGGAUCGUAAACUGCUUUUCUCGGGGAAGAGAACGGACGGUACCCGAGGAAUCAGCCCCGGCUAACUACGCGCUAGCAGCCGCGGU